rnacentral:rRNA from 1 species
UACGGAGGGUGCAAGCAUUAAUCGGAAUUAUUGGGCGUAAAGGGCGCGUAGGCGGAAUUGUAAGUCAGAUGUGAAAUUCCAAAACUUAACAUUGGAGCUGCAUUUGAGACUGCAAGACUAGAGGAAUGGCGGAGAAAAUGGAAUUCCACGUGUAGCGGUGAAAUGUGUAGAUAUGUGGAAGAACACCUGUGGCGAAAGCGGUUUUCUAGCUUUUUCCUGACGCUGAGGCGCGAGAGCAAGGGGAGCAAACAGG